AGUCUAUCAGCUACAGGACGCUGGGACAAAAUCUUAUUAAAAAGGGGUCCAUGUUCUAAUUUGUGUCAGUCUGGGGAUCCUUGAUGUAAAAAAAAGUUUUGGGAACCUAUUAACUUAACUUUAUAUCGAUCUGAAUAAAGAU